rnacentral:lncRNA from 10 species
ACCUAGGAGUAGAACAGCUGAAUUUCACAGUAGGUGUAUGUUUACCUUUUUAAGAAAUUGCCAAGCUGUUUCCAAAGUUGUUGUGCCAUUUUACAUCCCCACCUGCAGUGCAUGGGAGUUCCAGUUCUACAUCCUCAUAGAAGGUGUAUUUUUUAAAUCUGACAUUGAGAGUGAAGGAAGUCAAGGUUCUGAGAGCUCAGAGACUUGGUCAUUCAGUUACAGAAGCCCCCAACCGUCCUCCACUUCUGGGACCACCAGGUCACCCGCUUUUGUCUCAGCUCCAUUUGGACAAGUUUAGAAUAAAAGCGGCCUCAAUGGUAGCUUGUGCUGUGAGGCCACGCUGAGACCUCUGGUGGCCAUACGGUCUUCUAGCGUGGAGCCCACAUUGCAGCUUUUGUUGAACAAUUCUUCCUGGGAAGGCGGUGAACUGUAGACAUUGUUCCUUUAUCAUUUUUUCCCAUGAGAGAUUUGAAUUCUGUUCACCUUGCCGAACCCAAAUCCUUCUCAAAUGCGUGCAUCUGGCAGGGAGGAGGAUUGCGGAAAACAGCUCACACGAUGUCCCAGAGCCUGCCUGGCAUGCAUUUUCUCCUUCAGCCUCGCCAGCCACUGGCUUUGUCCUGAAUUCAACGGCACCAUCAGACUUCAGUGGCUGGGAGACCAGACAGGCAUCUGAAAAUGCGGUGAUGGAGAGAGUAACUGUGUAUCCAUGACAUGCCUGCAAAACAGGGGAGAUUAUUCUAUCAAAUCCCAACCCUCAGCCUCAGACCCAAAUGUCGUGAGCAGUGAACACCAAGGAAGAUGAAGAAAUUCUGCAGUGCCAGAUGCAUCUGUCCAGAAGGGACAGUGGCUGGGUUUGCCACUUGGCAGGGCUGCAGUUUUCCAGGCGCUGAACCACGAGCUUUGUUCCACUUCCUCUAUUCACAACCACCCAAAGCAACUUGUAUCGCUGUCUUUGGUAUUCUCUCCACAGUUCCCUGGCUUUCUUCUUCUAGGGGAAUUUUGGUUCGAUUUGUGCUCUUGUGUUUUUACCUAUGUGUCUCCAGAGACGAUGCUUACUGGGAAAUCUGCUAACAGAGAAAAUCAGAAAAUGGAAAGUCGAUGUUUGCAAUCACAUAUUCCCGGGCUGAGGGUUCCUUUUGAAAUUUGGCAUGUGGGUCCCAAAACCCAAGUUAGAGAUGUUUGGGAAAGUAACUCAACCAUCCCUUGGCAGGAAGAAUCAGUAGUGUAACAGAAAGACGGCCUGCAAUCCAGAGGUCAAGACCAGAACACGGAGGCGGGAGCAGGGAUGUCAAGGGAUGACAUAGUCCUGCUGAUGUUGCUGGCAAUAAGCAUCAUUUUCUAAAUUUUAUUAAGCUUUUCAUCAAGUUUCCCAAUAUCUGCCUUCUAUGGGGUCUCAUCCUCCUGGGAAAUUUUCCUGUAUUUCUUCAUAUCUAGACACAGUGUGGAAGGGAAGGGAUUGGUGGGAAUCACAGUGGCAGAAUGUCCCAUGAUGGCUCUUGAGAAGACCACAGUGAUGUCCUUGUCCAAACCCCUGAUCUGCAGAUCUGCACGUUCAAUCCCAGGGACAGGCUUCAUUAUAUUCUUCAGCUGGUUGUUUCACAAACAGUAAGCUUAAGACUUGGCUAUAAAUAACGCCAGGAUAAGAGCGAAUCCACCCUCGAAGGAAAAUAUGCCACAUGUGGGGCUUCCUAACAAAACCUACUGCUCGUCUGGAAGGAAGACCUUGAAGACUAGCCUUGGUAGUAGCAGCACCAUGUAUCAAGAAUAUGGCGUGUUUUGAGUUGACGUUUGGAAGGGGGUCGCCCUGUUGUCCACCUGGUCUGUACCUUUUAGUUCCUGCUUCUUUGGAACAUGGGCUGGCCGUGACUCUACCUCAGAGUGCUUUUCAUCCCUUCAGUAAACGUGCAGCACUUCCCGUGUUCUGGGAGCAUUUUCUUUGCAACCUUUCAGAUACGAUUCUUGCUGCUAACUUGAUUCAGUUUCACAGUUCAGAUUUCUCACAAAAAGAAUCUGAUUAGCACAUCUUAUAUUUUUCCAGGCAGGUGCCAUUGAUCAGUAGAGAGACCGGCUUGCCUGUGGAUCAGCUGUUCACGUAUCGUCCAGUAUGACCUGGCUGAGGAGAGGGGCUGUGUUGCUUAAAAUGUGAUCAUUUAAGGACUUCCCUUCACUGCAACCUCUGCUCACUGCAACCUCCGCUCACUGCAACCUCCGCUUCCUGGGUUCAAGUGAUUCGCCUGCCUCCACCUCCUGAGUAGCUGGGAUUCCAGGCGUGUGCCACCACGUCUGGCUAAUUUUUGUAUUUUGAGUUGGGGUUUUAAAAGGCAGCCUAACAGAGACGUAAAUCAUCAUAGGUGAAAAUUUAAGCAGCCGGCAUUUAUAGGGCUCCUCUUAAGGGAAGAGAGGAACACAUUUUGUUUCCUCCAACACCCAACACUGGGGCUUGGUGGGUGGGAGAGGCGCUGCCUGGGAAGGGCUCCUCACUUGGAGGCUUUGGUCCCUUCCCCAGCUUGGGAGCUCACCCAACCGCCUGCUGAACUUCUCCGCCAGCCCCUGCUUCCCUGGAGUCCACACUUUCAUCCUCAUUUUCUCCUAGAUUCUAAACUCUCAGAGGCCAAGAGCACCACUGUGGCCCCUGCAACACACUCUUCCUGUGCUGUGUGUGAAGCGAAUUGAAUGUUUUUCACCUUUUUUCCCCCCGUUAGGCAUUGUGUUACACGUGAGAGUUAAGCAGUGAAUAAGGCAAAGUCUCAUCCCCACGAAGCAGAAAUUCUGGGCAUUUUUAAUAUAUAACGUGGUCUGUGCUACUACAGUGAAUGAAAAUCGCAAGAAUACACACAGGUUAUUGUGACAGCAUUUGGGAGGGACAUCUUACCAAACCUAAGGGUUCAGGGAAGAGUCCUAGAGUGAGGGCAUCUGUCUCAUUCUGCACCCCACACCCUGAGCUGAGAGUGGCAGAUGGGGGAAGGGAAAUGGGGACUCAACUCAGUCGUUCCCUCCCUACCAAGCCUCCACAGGCCCUCCUGCACAGAAGCCGGUUCUGCAAUGUCCACCCUCCCAGACAGAGUCAUUCCCAAAUGUAGCUCCAGCAACUUUCUCGUGGGGUAAGGAAGGCUGCCAGCUCUUAGGGGAGGAAUCCAAGCUGUUUAAAGAGCAGAGCUCCAAGGACAUCCUGUGAUACCCCUGAAAUGAUGUCGAGCAGCACAGGAGGGAGAUGCCUUUAAAAGAGGGAACGUACAGGGCGGCCGAGGGUGGUGCCGGGACAAGCUGGGCCUCGCAGAUCGCACCACAACAGUGAAUGUACAUACAGCGGGUGCUUCUGGGAUGGCUCCUUCUGGGCCUCCCACACCCCCACCUGGUCACGUACAGGCCCAGCACUGGGGCUGGUGCCUCACUCAGCACCCACGCACCACGUUGUGCCAGCGAAGCUGUUGUGGCCAAGGAGGAGAGCCCCGUGGGGAGCGUUGGCUGUGGAGGCCUCUUUGAGUCAAGGGCAGAGCAUGUGUUUGGCCGGAAGUCCUGAUUCAGAACUUGGAAUCGGGAUUUUCUGCUAAUCUGGUGUUUUUCCUCUGACAGCACAAUAAUAUUGUUUUGGUUGCUAAGAAACCCUCUUUUAAUUGAACAUUGGGUCGAGUGGCUAUAGUACGAUAAUAUACCAUGCAGACAUAAGAGAAUAGCACAGCGCCCAAGUGACAAUCAGGCCACUUCUCACAACAGGCAUGUCAUAAUACAUAAGUGUCUUUCCAGAUUUUCCUCCCAGGGCAUGGAGGCAUUUGAUUUGUGACUGCAGACAGAAGAUUCUCUCUCCCCAGUCUGUGAUAUGGCCCUACAGUGGGCUAUCUGUACCUAUAACCAAGCUCAGCUUUGUUUUAUAGGCUGACAUUUUGUGGGCUAUUAGUCUGAAUGAACCACUAUUCUAAUGAUCAGAUCAUUAUAAUGGUGCAUUAGUUUGAUGCAGGGUAAUGAAAUAUUGUUACUCCAAUAAGGCUGGAUGUCUAUUACGGAUCUUAUCUCAUAAUCCCUGCUUAACAGAGGCAUCCUUGGUUUCUUUUGCAGUACAGAGCGAAUACCUGAUUGAAGAACUCUUUGGAGAAAGGACUAUAGUGUCAUUUUAAAAGCUAAGAGUAAAGUUUAAUAUUCCUAAUAGUAAUUGCUUUCUAUUUUGUUUUUCACAACUGAGAGACAUUGUUUGGCUAAAUCUCUAGGGGGCGAUUGAGAGAGGCAGGCACAUAAUCCCAGCUCUGAAUGCCCUGAUAAAAUUAAUGUGUUCUUUUACUUUAGAGACAGAGAAGGUUCAUGCAUUGUUUGCUAGGCAAUUUUCUAGCAUGUAGCUGCAAGAUUGGGUUCAUAUCUAUUUGCUGAGAAAUCAGAUGUAAGCAUAGGUUGAGUUGAGGCUGUCGAUUAGUAUAAGACCUCAAUAGAUGUUUUGUUUUUCACCUUGAGGGGCUGAUUUCAGUGUUAAAAGUUGGCCUGAGUAAAAGAAAAGCAGUUCAAAAGUUGGCUUUUAAAAAUCUUUUAGUGGAUAGAAUUAGAAUUGUGUUUUUACAGGAUGGGAGUUAUACCUGCCUCUGCCUCCCUGCAAACACGUGUCACAGGUUGUAUUCCACCUGCAGUGGCCAGGGUUCUUUGAUUGCAAGCAACAGCAACACUGCUGCCCCUAAUUUGAAAGGAGUUAUUUAAAUGAUAUUGGGUGGCUCACAUAUCUAAAAAAAGAAAAAAAAUCUGCACAACCAGGGAUCUGGAAGGACGUGUAUGAGGGACCCUAAAGGACAGCUGAGUCUGAAUACUGUAUCUUUCAUCAUUUCCUCUAUUUUUAUUACUUUGUUUGAGAUUCAGAACUUGGUUGAACAAGGCAAUCUGCCAGCCUUGGCCUCCCAAAGUGCUGGGAUUACAGGCAUGAGCCACCAUGCCCAACAAGAUGCAAGAGUUCUGAGUGGCUUGUGACACUUGACAUCCCUUCUUAGUGCCAAGACCACAGGCCCACCCCUUGGCCAAUGAUAGUUUAGCACACCUUGCCUGGCAGUUCCUUCAAGAUUGGGUGAAGAAAAAACAAUUACUUCAAUGCCAUCUUUGUUAAGUAUGUAGAUAAAUUCUCAUGACAUAAGGCUCUAGGAAGCUCCCAAGACCUCAAUGUAGGCUGUUCUUGGAGAACAAUGCCUGCCAACCCCAUGGUAGGCACCCCUCAUUGUCUACUAACAUCCAUUUCCAACCUGCUUCUUUGCUGGCAGAAGCCACUUCUCACAAAGACUUGAAAACAUGCCCUGCCUAUUUAUUUUGGCAUUCCCUCCUGCAGCAGUCAUAUGACUCAAUUUGGGCCAAUUAGAUACAAGGGAAAGUAUGAGAAAGGCUUUCCUCUUUAAUAUAGAUAUGGCACUGUAGACUGUGGCAGCCGUUUGGGACAGUUCAGACAAGGCAGAAGGGCAAGGUCAGUAAACUGAGCAUGUACGUGAUGGAUGACUUAUUGUCCUGCUGAAUUAACUAAAUCUGAAAUAAAUUGACCUGCUGAAUUAAGCAAACCUGAAAUAAACUAUCUCUAGGCCUCUUGCUAAGGGAAAUAAUAAAUAUCCUUCAC